rnacentral:rRNA from 1 species
GCAUAUCAAUAAGCGGAGGAAAAGAAACCAACAGGGAUUGCCCUAGUAACGGCGAGUGAAGCGGCAACAGCUCAAAUUUGAAAUCUGGCGUCUUUGGCGUCCGAGUUGUAAUUUGCAGAGGGCGCUUUGGCAUUGGCAGCGGUCCAAGUUCCUUGGAACAGGACGUCACAGAGGGUGAGAAUCCCGUACGUGGUCGCUAGCCUCUACCGUGUAAAGCCCCUUCGACGAGUCGAGUUGUUUGGGAAUGCAGCUCUAAAUGGGAGGUAAAUUUCUUCUAAAGCUAAAUACUGGCCAGAGACCGAUAGCGCACAAGUAGAGUGAUCGAAAGAUGAAAAGCACUUUGGAAAGAGAGUUAAAAAGCACGUGAAAUUGUUGAAAGGGAAGCGCUUGCAGCCAGACUUGCCUGUAGUUGCUCAUCCGGGUUUUUACCCGGUGCACUCUUCUAUAGGCAGGCCAGCAUCAGUUUGGGCGGUUGGAUAAAGGUCUCUGUCACGUACCUCCUCUCGGGGAGAACUUAUAGGGGAGACGUAAUGCAACCAGCCUGGACUGAGGUCCGCGCAUCUGCUAGGA